GGAGCAGAACCUCGAAGGAGCAGUUUGUUGUUCUUUGCCUCAUUAAGUGCUACAGCUGCCUGUAACGAGCUAUUAAGCUGUUAGAGCAAGCUGAUCUAUCUUUAGACUGUACUGACCCAUUAUCACCCGGAGUCUUCAUGUCUUAGAGGACAGGCCACAUCAAGAGAGGGAUUUUUUAGAUCCUCUUAGAUGGAGGAAGGAGCUUGGUUAGAAGAGGUAGGACGGCACCCACCUGCAACAAGACAGCCAUGGUAAAAAAGGGACUGUUUGCUGUUUCCAGCUUUGGGGGAAUGGAAAACCUCCUCAGAGGGAGUUUCAAAGAAAAGGUUAAGGGAGCAUGAAUUUCUUGAGCAAGAGUUUCUGCCUAAAGGAAGUUUUUCAACUUUGCCUGAGUACAAAUACAGUGCACUUUACUCUGAGCUUCACUGCAACUGGUUAACUAGAUUCAAAAGAAGGAAUAAACAAAAGAAGGAAUAACCAAAAGAAGGAAUAAGAGUUUACAACUGUGAUGUAAAUGCUCAAUUGUAGUAAAUUAUGAAGACUAGAUGUGGUGACGAGUUAGGAUCAGCAAGGCUGUUUUCAGUGUAUUACAUCUUCAAAACUGGAAGUGUACCAGCUUAUUAAGUUCUCUGUCCUGGCCAGGGCAGGUGAUGAAGGAACCACAACUGAAAUUAAUACAGAGACUUCUGUGUGCAGAGCUGAGUCAAGCAGAGGACAAAUCUUCUCAGUUAGUUGGAGCUAAGAGACACUCGCAAUAGUGCUCCUCCUCCAGAGGAUAUAGAACUUUAAUCUCAGAGGGAUUGAACAACUUUCUCAUGGUUGUUUAUGGGACUAAAGUAUGUAGUAAACCCAAAAGCUGUAGCUUGGAAUGUCUUUCGUUGUCUUUAACUACAAAACCAUCCACCCUCUCAGUUUUUUUUCUUGUGAAGCAGAGAAUGGAGCAAGAUAAAAGGACAGAGAAAUAGUAUAAAUGACUAGCAAGAAGGAUGUGUUCAGAAUAUACUGGUAGGGUGUGGCGAGAAGCGGUCCAGAAGACAUCUUUGUAGUUGUGAUAAAGGUAAAAGGCGUUAUACCAAAGCAAUGAGCUUUUCCAGAGGCUAAAAAAUACAGAAAGACAGUCGUAAAGAUUCAGACAGGAAGGGCAAAGGAGAAAACUCUUGGGGUAAAGUCCUUUAGUGGAGGAGAUUAAAAGUUGACUCAGCUUCAUAGUUGGCAGAAAGUGCUUGCUGCUGAACUCUGCAUGCUGCUGAAAAGGGUCGCUUUCACACCUGUGACCCUAAAUACAGACCUGGCUUAUCUAGAUUCUAGCCAAAAAUUCCAUUCUCACAGAAAGCCUUCUUGCACAGCCCAAAGAAGAUGAAAGGAGAUACCUCAUAGUGCAAAAUUUCUUAAUUAUAAACAGAAGAAAACUUUAAAGGCUCUUUAAGAAGCAAAAACAAAAGACAAGGAGAAGAAGGAAUUGUCAGCAAUGAGCUUGGGAAAGCCAGAAUUUCAUCAACAAAUGCACAAAAUAAUGACAGAGCCUUGGAAAGUCCCUGGUAAACUCAGUGCUCAUUUAUACUCUUAUAUUUUUCAGGGAACUUUGAUUCUGAAAUAAUGAAGGAAUUAUGUGAAUUAACUCUAAAUCUUUAAACCAAGUCAAUUUUAUUUGAGAAUUUACUUGGGAAGUGCUGCUUUUUAUAAAACUUUGCAAAACAUCCUUAAACUGCAUGUUCUGACUUGGCUGCU